CCUACGGGAUGCAGCAGUAGGGAAUCUUCCGCAAUGGGCGAAAGCCUGACGGAGCAACGCCGCGUGAGUGAUGAAGGUCUUCGGAUCGUAAAACUCUGUUAUUAGGGAAGAACAAAUGUGUAAAUAACUAUGCACGUCUUGACGGUACCUAAUCAGAAAGCCACGGCUAACUACGUGCCAGCAGCCGCGGUAAUACGUAGGUGGCAAGCGUUAUCCGGAAUUAUUGGGCGUAAAGCGCGCGUAGGCGGUUUUUUAAGUCUGAUGUGAAAGCCCACGGCUCAACCGUGGAGGGUCAUUGGAAACUGGAAAACUUGAGUGCAGAAGAGGAAAGUGGAAUUCCAUGUGUAGCGGUGAAAUGCGCAGAGAUAUGGAGGAACACCAGUGGCGAAGGCGACUUUCUGGUCUGUAACUGACGCUGAUGUGCGAAAGCGUGGGGAUCAAACAGGAUUAGAUACCCCAGUAGUC
rnacentral:rRNA from 1 species